CCUACGGGUGGCUGCAGUGAGGAAUAUUGGUCAAUGGCCGAAAGGCUGAACCAGCCAAGUCGCGUGAGGGAUGACGGCUCUAUGGAUUGUAAACCUCUUUUGUAGGGGAGUAAAGAGUGUGACGUGUCGCGUAUUGAGUGUACCUUAAGAAAAAGCAUCGGCUAACUCCGUGCCAGCAGCCGCGGUAAUACGGAGGAUCCGAGCGUUAUCCGGAUUUAUUGGGUUUAAAGGGAGCGUAGACGGCGUGUUAAGUCAGUUGUGAAAGUUUGGGGCUCAACCAUAGAAUUGAAAUUGAUACUGGGAGGCUUGAGGACAGUUGAGGCAGGCGGAAUUCGUGGUGUAGCGGUGAAAUGCGUAGAUAUCACGAAGAACCCCGAUUGCGAAGGCAGCUUACUAAACUAUGACUGACAUUGAUGCUCGAAAGCGUGGGGAUCAAACAGGAUUAGAUACCCGAGUAGUC
rnacentral:rRNA from 1 species